UACGGAGGGGGCUAGCGUUGUUCGGAAUUACUGGGCGUAAAGCGCACGUAGGCGGCUUUGUAAGUUAGAGGUGAAAGCCCGGGGCUCAACUCCGGAAUUGCCUUUAAGACUGCAUCGCUAGAAUUGUGGAGAGGUAAGUGGAAUUCCGAGUGUAGAGGUGAAAUUCGUAGAUAUUGGGAAGAACACCGGUGGCGAAGGCGGCGCUCUGGACCGAGACUGACGCUGAGGCGCGAAAGCGUGGGGAGCAAACAGG
rnacentral:rRNA from 1 species